GAAGCCAAGCUGACUUCAGCUGAGAAAGGGUUCACAGAUAACGUGUGUUUUGACUCCUUCAGGAACCUGGAAUGAGAACACAGAAUGCCAAGAAAGUUUCCAGGUUUUGGGUUUCUGUUUUGUUUUGUUUCACUUUUUACAAGUGAAUAGGACCAGACACAUUAUGCCUAGAGCUGGACUGGAACGUUUUUUUCUUCCUUGACAAAAAAAAGAGCCAAUAAUUAGAGCUUAAGUUAUUUGUCUUCAAAAUGCAAAGCAGUGAGAGAACGUGAACGGGAUAACUGAGUUGCUCCAUGGAGGAUGCCUGCCUGGUGUUGGACUCCUGAGCCCAUCUAGUGUGAGGAAAAAUAUAAACCUUGCCAGGGCUUACAAAUCAGGCUCUGACCUUGACCCUGGGACCUCUCUUGUUGUUAAGUUCCAUAGUUCUAUGUUUUCCUUUUUUCCCAUUCAUUCAUUCAACGAUUUUUUUUUUUUUUUUUUUUGGAUGUGUCAGUCAUUGUACUAAGAACUGGGGAUAUAAGUGAAAAAUCAGACAAACCCUCACCCUUAUGGAAUUCAGAACUUCUUACAAAUAAUCUCAAAACACAAAGACUUCCACUUUUUAUCAAUAUUCCAAUCAUUCAUUCAUUCAUCUUUCAGAUGAAAUGAUUUCCACAGUACCCUCAUGCCAAUUGGAUACGGGUAUUCCUGGCCCCAUUUCACCAUUGGUCAGACAGAGAACUAAUAAAUAUGAGAGAGAAGAUCAGCAUGGACAUUGCAACUUUGAAGGAAACACACACAGAAGUGGAAAGACCCAGAUCUCACUUCUCUAACAAGCUCCUCUAAUGGGCUGGAAGAAACUUGAAUGUACAGAUCUCCUGAUUUAAUACCAAGAAGAAAGUUGAGUUUUCAGACCUGACUGAAGAAGCACGUGGCAAGUUUGGAGAAAUGAUACUGGGAGGAUCCAGAUUAAGAAAAUGUCAAGAAGAACUGGAGAUGGAUGAUAGCUGUAGAACAAGGUGAAUGUACUUAAUGCCGUGGAACUGGACACUUAAAAACAGGCCAAAAUGACUUCACAUCUGGAGUUGCAGCAGCCAACUUGUGACCCUGAGAAACAAAAGUCACAUGCUACGGAUGGUGAACCAAGGAACAAGACAGAGUUGGGGUCCUUCAGGACAUCAUACAGUCACUGUACCAGUUCUGGUAUGUUCAUGUCCAAAUUUCUUCUUAUGGGGGAAAAAUGAUUUUAGUUAAACCACUGUCAGAUUCUUGUUAAGUGCAGGCA